rnacentral:rRNA from 1 species
AGUGAACGCUGGCGGUAGGCCUAACACAUGCAAGUCGAACGGCAGCACAGUAAGAGCUUGCUCUUACGGGUGGCGAGUGGCGGACGGGUGAGGAAUACAUCGGGAUCUACUUUUUCGUGGGGGAUAACGUAGGGAAACUUACGCUAAUACCGCAUACGACCUACGGGUGAAAGCAGGGGAUCUUCGGACCUUGCGCGAUUGAAUGAGCCGAUGUCGGAUUAGCUAGUUGGCGGGGUAAAGGCCCACCAAGGCGACGAUCCGUAGCUGGUCUGAGAGGAUGAUCGGCCACACUGGAACUGAGACACGGUCCAGACUCCUACGGGAGGCAGCAGUGGGGAAUAUUGGACAAUGGGCGCAAGCCUGAUCCAGCCAUACCGCGUGGGUGAAGAAGGCCUUCGGGUUGUAAAGCCCUUUUGUUGGGAAAGAAAAGCAGCAGGUUAAUACCCCGCUGUUCUGACGGUACCCAAAGAAUAAGCACCGGCUAACUUCGUG